rnacentral:rRNA from 1 species
GGGCCCGCACAAGCGGCGGAGCAUGCGGAUUAAUUCGAUGCAACGCGAAGAACCUUACCUGGGUUUGACAUGGCCGCAAAACUCACAGAGAUGUGGGGUCCUUCGGGGGCGGUCACAGGUGGUGCAUGGCUGUCGUCAGCUCGUGUCGUGAGAUGUUGGGUUAAGUCCCGCAACGAGCGCAACCCUUGUUCGAUGUUGCCAGCGGUUCGGCCGGGGACUCAUCGAAGACUGCCGGGGUCAACUCGGAGGAAGGUGGGGAUGAGGUCAAGUCAUCAUGCCCCUUAUGUCCAGGGCUUCACGCAUGCUACAAUGGCCGGUACAAAGGGCUGCGAUACCGUGAGGUGGAGCGAAUCCCAAAAAGCCGGUCUCAGUUCGGAUCGGGGUCUGCAACUCGACCCCGUGAAGUCGGAGUCGCUAGUAAUCGCAGAUCAGCAACGCUGCGGUGAAUACGUUCCCGGGCCUU